ACGGAAGGCAGCAGUGCGGAAUAUUGGUCAAUGGGCGAGAGCCUGAACCAGCCAAGUAGCGUGAAGGAUGACUGCCCUACGGGUUGUAAACUUCUUUUAUACGGGAAUAAAAAAGGCCACGCGUGGCCUCUUGUAUGUACCGUAUGAAUAAGCAUCGGCUAAUUCCGUGCCAGCAGCCGCGGUAAUACGGAAGAUGCGAGCGUUAUCCGGAUUUAUUGGGUUUAAAGGGAGCGUAGGCGGGUCUUUAAGUCAGUGUUCAAAGCGUGUGGCUCAACCAUACCACGCCAUUGAUACUGGAGACCUUGAGUGCACAUGAGGAUGGUGGAAUUCGUCAUGUAGCGGUGAAAUGCUUAGAUAUGACGAAGAACUCCGAUUGCGAAGGCAGCUGUCCGGGGUGUAACUGACGCUAGUGCUCGAAAGUGCGGGUAUCAAACAGGAUUAGAUACCCUGGUA
rnacentral:rRNA from 1 species